GGUUGAAGCUCAGUGGAAGAGUGCUUCCCUAGUACAUGAGAGGCCCUGGGUUCAAUCCCCAGGGAUUG
rnacentral:tRNA from 1 species